AUUGAACGCUGGCGGCAGGCUUAACACAUGCAAGUCGAGCGGGGUGAUGGUGCUUGCACUAUCACUUAGCGGCGGACGGGUGAGUAAUGCUUAGGAAUCUGCCUAUUAGUGGGGGACAACAUCUCGAAAGGGAUGCUAAUACCGCAUACGUCCUACGGGAGAAAGCAGGGGAUCACUUGUGACCUUGCGCUAAUAGAUGAGCCUAAGUCGGAUUAGCUAGUUGGUGGGGUAAAGGCCUACCAAGGCGACGAUCUGUAGCGGGUCUGAGAGGAUGAUCCGCCACACGGGGACUGAGGAACGGCCCAGACGCCUACGGGAGGCAGCGGUGGGGAAUAUUGGACAAUGGGGGGAACCCUGAUCCAGCCAUGCCGCGUGUGUGAAGAAGGCCUUAUGGUUGUAAAGCACUUUAAGCGAGGAGGAGGCUCUUUUGGUUAAUACCCAAGAUGAGUGGACGUUACUCGCAGAAUAAGCACCGGCUAACUCUGUGCCAGCAGCCGCCGUAA
rnacentral:rRNA from 1 species